rnacentral:lncRNA from 1 species
AUGUCCCCGUCCCUCAGGGAAGCUGGCUGUCCUUGGGGGCAGCCCCUCGUCGCCGCUGUUCUCCUGGGUGCCCACUGCACCCUGCUGGGCAUGGGGCAGCUCCCCCCAGGGCUCUGUGGAAGCAGAAGUCGCUGUUUCCUUGCUACCUUCCCAAGCUCUUUCCUUCGCAGGACUUGGGAGCAGACCCCCAGCGCCAGCAGAUGCCCAGACAAGCGGGCAGAGAGGAGGCAGAAGAGGACGAGGAGGAGGGGACUGCUCUGCACCAAGUUAACGCAUCAUCCCAGCAAAGGGAUGGUGCUCAGUCAGUUCCUCCGCCAGCCCGAGGAGUUUCCGCUCUGCAGCCCAAGCGCCAGGCGGGGAGCGGAGGCAGAGCCAGGGGAGCGGGGAAAGUUGCAGAGGCCCCCGUCGAGCCGCCGAUCUCCGGAAAAGUGCAUUGCGCCUGGUUUUUUUCGGGUCGUUUUCCUAGGAGUGGGUGGCGGGCGCAAGCGAAGCAGCCGAGGCUCCCUCCUUCUGCGCGCCCGGCUCAGCCUGUGUCCCCCACCCGCCUGCCUGCCUUGCGCCGAUGCGGGCUGGUCCAGGAGGCUCUGGCCGGAGGAAGAGGAAAGAGACGAGGCCGGAUGCGGGGAUCCGCUAGGGCGAUGCGAACGGCUCGCUGGAGAAGAUCCCUCCGACUUGCGUGCUCCCGCCGCGGCUGCCUAUCGCUCCCAAGCGCCCGCCAGGCACUCGAUCCAGUCGGAGGGGAGGAAGAAGAGGAGAAGGAGGAGGAGGAAGAAGAAGAACCGGCCUCCCUGCAGCAGCAGCCGGCGGCGGCGAGGUCUCUGCAAUGCUCAGGCGGCGGCGCUCCAUCGCCAGCCCAUGGAGACUUUGGGAGCGAAGCACUUCUUUGCCCGCCAGGCAGAGAGCGCGACGCAAUCGGAGCCCAGAGGCACCAGCAGCGGCGGAGGCGGCAAUAGCAGCGGCGCUUCAGUAGCGACGCCCGCCCGGCUCGCUUCCCCCUCUGCUGAAUGGCCGAGGAGCUGCAGCCUCCAACGCAGCCGCCCGCGCCCGGCCCCCGCGGCCCUCUCCGGGCCUCCUCAUUGGAUGCCGCGCCUGCCACUCUUGCCGCUGACUCCCCUGCCCCUCCCCUCCCUUCCCCGGGUCAGGGAUGCUGCUGGGUGUUUAAGGCUCUGCCGCGGAGCCUGCCUGCCUGGCCGGCCGGCUGGCAAGGAAGGGCAGCUCUGCUCAGCUGGCUGCCCGCAUCGCCACAGGGCUCCCCCUCCCGCCCGCGUGCGCGUGCUCCCACUCCAGUCCGCCCCGCCGCACAAUCUCCUCCGUUGGGAGAUGGGCGCUGGGGAAAGUUUUCCCAAAGUGCAGCCAGCCUAG